rnacentral:rRNA from 1 species
UUGAACGCUGGCGGCAGGCCUAACACGUGCAAGUCGAACGGUAACAGGAAGAAGCUUGCUUCUUUGCUGACGAGUGGCGGACGGGUGAGUAAUGUCUGGGAAACUGCCUGAUGGAGGGGGAUAACUACUGGAAACGGUAGCUAAUACCGCAUAACGUCGCAAGACCAAAAAGGGGGACCUUCGGGCCUCUUGCCAUCGGAUGUGCCCAGAUGGGAUUAGCUAGUAGGUGGGGUAACGGCUCACCUAGGCGACGAUCCCUAGCUGGUCUGAGAGGAUGACCAGCCACACUGGAACUGAGACACGGUCCAGACUCCUACGGGAGGCAGCAGUGGGGAAUAUUGCACAAUGGGCGCAAGCCUGAUGCAGCCAUGCCGCGUGUAUGAAGAAGGCCUUCGGGUUGUAAAGUACUUUCAGCGGGGAGGAAGGGAGUAAAGUUAAUACCUUUGCUCAUUGACGUUACCCGCAGAAGAAGCACCGGCUAACUCCGU